rnacentral:rRNA from 1 species
UCUACGGGUGGCAGCAGUGGGGAAUAUUGGGCAAUGGGCGCAAGCCUGACCCAGCAAUGCCGCGUGAAGGAAGAAGGCUUUCGGGUUGUAAACUUCUUUGACAGGGGAAGAGCAGAAGACGGUACCCUGACAACAAGCCACGGCUAACUACGUGCCAGCAGCCGCGGUAAUACGUAGGUGGCAAGCGUUGUCCGGAUUUACUGGGGGUAAAGGGCGUGUAGCCGGGAAGGCAAGUCAGAUGUGAAAUCUGGAGGCUCAACCUCCAAAUUGCAUUUGAAACUGUUUUUCUUGAGUACUGGAGAGGCAGACGGAAUUCCGUGUGUAGCGGUGAAAUGCGUAGAUAGAAGGAGGAACACCAGUGGCGAAGGCGGUCUGCUGGACAGCAACUGACGGUGAGGCGCGAAAGCGUGGGGAGCAAACAGGAUUAGAUACCCCAGUAGUC